rnacentral:rRNA from 1 species
UAGGGAAUAUUGCAAAAUGGGCGAAAGCCCGAUGCAGCAACGCCGCGUGGGCGAUGAAGGCCUUCGGGUCGUAAAGCCCUUUUUGAGGGGAUGAGGAAGGACAGUACCCUCAGAAUAAGCCUCGGCUAACUACGUGCCAGCAGCCGCGGUAAAACGUAGGAGGCGAGCGUUAUCCGGAUUUACUGGGCGUAAAGCGCGUGCAGGCGGAUUGGAGAGUUGGAUGUGAAAGCUCCCGGCUUAACUGGGAGAGGUCGUUCAAUACUUCCAGUCUUGAGUGCAGUAGAGGGAAGUGGAGUUCCGGGUGUAGUGGUGAAAUGCGUAGAUAUCCGGAGGAACACCAGUGGCGAAAGCGGCUUCCUGAACUGUAACUGACGCUCAGACGCGAAAGCUAGGGUAGCAAACG